rfam:Medicago truncatula strain A17 chromosome 7, whole genome shotgun sequence.
AAACAGCCCCCUAUGUUUUGAUUCUUUGGCAGUUUUGGACCCUUAAGGCAAAAAAAAAAAAAAUUUGACACGUGGCACCUCACUUAGGGUGCCACGUCAGCAUUGAUCGAGUCAACAAUGGAUUGAGGGUUCAAAACUGCCAAAGAAUCAAAACAUAGGGGGCUGUUU